GGGGUGUCUGAUGGACGAUUGGUGUGUCUGAGGGUAGGUUGGGGUGUCUGAGGGAAAAUUAGGGUGUCUGAGGGGAGGUUGGGAUGUUUGAGAAGUUGGGGUGUCUGAGGAGAGGUUGGAGAGCUUGAGGGGAGGUUGGGGUGUCUGAGGGGAGGUU